AAUCUUCCGCAAUGGACGAAAGUCUGACGGAGCAACGCCGCGUGAGUGAUGAAGGUUUUCGGAUCGUAAAACUCUGUUGUUAGGGAAGAACAAUUACCGGAUUCACUGCCGGUACCUUGACGGUACCUGACGAGAAAGCCACGGCAAACUACUUGCCAGCAGCCGCGGUAAUACGAAGGUGGCAAGCGUUGUCCGGAUUUAUUGGGCGUAAUGCACGCGCAGGCGAUCUUUUAAGUCUGAUGUGAAAUCUUACAGCAUAACUGUAAGCGGUCCUUGGAAACUGGGAGACUUGAGUGCAGAAGAGGAGAGGGGAAUUCCAUGUGUAGCGGUGAAAUGCGUAGAGAUAUGAAGGAACACCAGUGGCGAAGGCGACUCUCUGGUCUGUAACUGACGCUGAGGCGCGAAAGCGUGGGGAUCAAACA
rnacentral:rRNA from 1 species